UUUGUUGGAUGAAAUUCUUGGGAAAGACAAGAACAGAGACUGAUUGUAGACUUAGGCCAAUAUUUAGCUCUGAUAAAUCCCUCUAUCUUUUUCUUCGAUUUUUAUUCGGUGGGAUGUGAAAUUUUGGAUUUUUAGGUGAAAGGUUGGAGUUUAUGGACUGAAAAUUGGCAGCCCUUUUGAGUAUUCCUACUUAUUUGGGUGACAUUAACAUUAUUCUAGAACUUCAUGUAAUUGUUUCUUAAAAAAGGAACAGGUGUUUUUUUUUUUUUUGUGUAGAAUCUAAGCCCAUUUGGCCCUGGAAGGAUUGUGUAGAAAUCCAAUCCUUGAGAGCAUUCUGAACAUGAUUUCAUGACAUUUGAAUUUCUAGCUUAAAAGAGAGAAUAAACUAAGAAAAAUGCACAUAGCUACAUUGGAGGUGAUCUUGUAUAAGUUCCAGGUAUUCUAGAACAUAACUCAUUUCAAAGGCUGAUUUAACUGUUCCAAUAGUUUCAGUGGAGGGUCAGCCAUUGGAGCUUAAUUGAAAGCAUUUAAUCAUGGUGUUACAACUGCAGAAGUAGUUGGCAUAGAUUGAGUUAGAUCAGAGACAUUUGGUUACUCAAAGCCUUUUACAGACGGAUUUAAGUCUCUUUAAUAUUCAUGCUUUUUGAUCCUCACUGCCCCACCAGAUUCUUCCUGCUGUGUCUCUACGGUAGUAAUUGCAUUCUGCUACAUAAUUAAUUAAUCUUUAUCCUUUUCUUCACUCUUUUCUUAUUGAGUUGUCAUUGCUUUUGGCUUCUGCUUUUAGUGAUCAUUUUAGUGCCAGAAGUCAAAGGCAAUAAUACUCACCAGGUGCAGGAGAAGGAUGCUACCAGAAAGAUGACAGACAGACACACACACACACAGAUAUAGAGAGACAGAGAGAGAACGUAGGAAAUGCUUAUGUGUGCCGGAGAUUGGUGCCGAAACCUUCAUGGAGUGAAAAAAAGAUAAAAAUAAAAAGUGAAGGCAGCAAAAAAGAUUCUACUUCCCAUAAAAUGAAUGUGAUAAUUGGAAAGGGCCUGGAGUUGAAAAUUUGGAAUCCAUAAGCAAAAGCUGGAAAAGAUUAUUAUGGAAUGGACAACAUGCUACUGUCUUUAAUUGUAGAAUUUGUUUCACAUUUUUAAUUUGAAUGUUGACACUUUGUCUUUGUUUUUCCUGUUUGUGUGACUUGGUGGAUGUUGGUUGUGUGACUUAUCUCUGAAUUUGGAUGUUAGAUUUGAUGUUAAAAUACGGAUGAAUUUGGAUAUUGGUUGGCAUAAUGGCUGAAAAGUGUUGACAAUUUGAUGCUUUGGAC